GUCUUUUGUACAGUUACACGUAGCCUAAAAAUUUCUGAAUGCAAUUCUGAAAUGGAAGACGAACAAGGAGAGUGGGAGGAUGGGCUGAUCUGUGGUUACUUCCAAUAUAUGCCUGGUGUCACUAGAGCGAAGUUGUGCGUUUUUGCUGAGUAUUCUGCCUCCCGCGCGCGAACAGGCGCGCGAGCUCGCGCGUCUGGAAGGUUUUAAAUAUCUUAAAGACCGGAAAUAAGAGAAAUUGAGUCAUUUCUCAAGCUUAGGGCUUCCUCUUCACCCCCAACUCGACCAAGGCAUCUAAUUGCAUA